GAUGAACGCUGGCGGCGUGCUUAACACAUGCAAGUCGAACGGUGAACCCGGAGCUUGCUCUGUGGGAUCAGUGGCGAACGGGUGAGUAACACGUGAGCAACCUGCCCCUGACUCUGGGAUAAGCGCUGGAAACGGCGUCUAAUACUGGAUAUGUGACGUGACCGCAUGGUCUGCGUUUGGAAAGAUUUUUCGGUUGGGGAUGGGCUCGCGGCCUAUCAGCUUGUUGGUGAGGUAAUGGCUCACCAAGGCGUCGACGGGUAGCCGGCCUGAGAGGGUGACCGGCCACACUGGGAUUGAGACACGGCCCAGACUCCUACGGGAGGCAGCAGUGGGGAAUAUUGCACAAGGGGCGAAAGCCUGAUGCAGCAACGCCGCGUGAGGGAUGACGGCCUUCGGGUUGUAAACCUUUUUUAGCAGGGAAGAAGCGAAAGUGACGGUACCUGCAGAAAAAGCGCCGGCUAACUACGU
rnacentral:rRNA from 1 species